GAUGAACGCUGGCGGCGUGCCUAAUACAUGCAAGUCGAGCGAAUGGAUUAAGAGCUUGCUCUUAUGAAGUUAGCGGCGGACGGGUGAGUAACACGUGGGUAACCUGCCCAUAAGACUGGGAUAACUCCGGGAAACCGGGGCUAAUACCGGAUAACAUUUUGAACCGCAUGGUUCGAAAUUGAAAGGCGGCUUCGGCUGUCACUUAUGGAUGGACCCGCGUCGCAUUAGCUAGUUGGUGAGGUAACGGCUCACCAAGGCAACGAUGCGUAGCCGGCCUGAGAGGGUGGUCGGCCACACUGGGACUGAGGCACGGCCCAGACUCCUACGGGAGGCAGCAGUAGGGAAUCUUCCGCAAUGGACGAAAGUCUGACGGAGCAACGCCGCGUGAGGGAUGAAGGCUUUCGGGUCGUAAAACUCUGUUGUUAGGGAAGAACAAGUGCUAGUUGAAUAAGCUGACACCUUGACGGUACCUAACCAGAAAGCCACGGCUAACUACGUGCCAGCCGCCGCGGUAA
rnacentral:rRNA from 1 species